GAUUUUGUAGUUUAAAGGUUUAAAAUUCUAAUUUGCAAAAUUAGAGAUGGCUGAGUGUUCAAAAUUU
rnacentral:tRNA from 1 species